UGCGGGUGCCUCUGUGUUCAGAGUUCUCCCGGUUUGGUAGCGGAGUGAGUGUGAGGGCCCUCGGGGUACCUCGACAGUGGCCCCUGUUGUGAAGGGACAAAAAACUCCCGCUGUGGGUGAAGCCUGGGAAAAGCAAACACCAUCGGGAGUCUUAUUUCACCUCGGCCUUAAGCACYGGCUCCUGAUAAAUCAUGGUCCCUCAGUGAGAUUUGUUGCCAGCGGGGGGAGUGAAACGAGACUUGAGUAGUUCCCACUCCCUGAGAACUGCGUAUAACACAGAGUUCUGCAAGCCUUGAGCAUGGAAAAUUUUCCAGCAUCAGUCCCUGAAGUCACUGMUCAUUUGACAGCUCCCACAGUAUCACUGCUGCUGAAGAUUAGGAGCCCGAGGACUCCCUGGACCACUUCUGCUUCGAGAAUCAGACUCAGAAGUCCUUGAG